rnacentral:rRNA from 1 species
GACGAACGCUGGCGGCGUGCUUAACACAUGCAAGUCGAACGGAAAGGCCCUGCUUUUGUGGGGUGCUCGAGUGGCGAACGGGUGAGUAACACGUGAGUAACCUGCCCUUGACUUUGGGAUAACUUCAGGAAACUGGGGCUAAUACCGGAUAGGAGCUCCUGCUGCAUGGUGGGGGUUGGAAAGUUUCGGCGGUUGGGGAUGGACUCGCGGCUUAUCAGCUUGUUGGUGGGGUAGUGGCUUACCAAGGCUUUGACGGGUAGCCGGCCUGAGAGGGUGACCGGCCACAUUGGGACUGAGAUACGGCCCAGACUCCUACGGAAGGCAGCAGUGGGGAAUAUUGCACAAUGGGCGGAAGCCUGAUGCAGCAACGCCGCGUGCGGGAUGACGGCCUUCGGGUUGUAAACCGCUUUCGCCUGUGACGAAGCGUGAGUGACGCUAAUGGGUAAAGAAGCACCGGCUAACUACGUG